rnacentral:misc_RNA from 1 species
UCUCCGUAGGUGAACCUGCGGAGGGAUCAUUACUGAGUGAGGGCCUCCAGCCCGACCUCCAACCCUUUGUAAACCGACCCUGUUGCCUCGGGGGACUCCGGCGUCUUCGGGCGCCGGGCCCCCGGUGGACCCCCCAACUCUGCGUCUUUGCGUCUGAGUCUUGAAUGAUAAAUCAAUUAAAACUUUCAACAACGGAUCUCUUGGUUCUGGCAUCGAUGAAGAACGCAGC